AUUGAACGCUGGCGGCAGGCCUAACACAUGCAAGUCGAGCGAGCGGCGGACGGGUGAGUAAUGUCUGGGAAACUGCCUGAUGGAGGGGGAUAACUACUGGAAACGGUAGCUCAUACCGCAUACCAUCAGCUGUGCCCAGAUGGGAUUAGCUAGUUGGUGGGGUAAAGGCCUACCAAGGCGACGCUCUGUAGCGGGUCUGAGAGGAUGAUCCGCCACACUGGGACGGGGACACGGCCCAGACUCCUACGGGGGGCCGCAAGGGGGAAUAUUGGACAAUGGGGGGAACGCUGAUCCAGCCAUGCCGCGGGUGUGAAGAAGGCCUUAUGGUUGUAAAGCACUUUAAGCGAGGAGGCGUUACUCGCAGAAUAAGCACCGGCUAACUCUGUGCCAGCAGCCGCGGUAAUAC
rnacentral:rRNA from 1 species